rnacentral:snRNA from 1 species
GGAUGUGAGGGCAAUCUGGCUGUGACAUCUGUCACUCCAUUGAUCGCCAGGGUUGAUCUGGCUGAUCUGGCUGGCUAGGUGGGUGGGUGUCCCUUUCCUCCCUCACCGCUCCAUGUGCUUCCCUCCCGUAACUGUGUGCUCCAUCGAAGAGGACGGCCUUCCCGGAAUAGAGACAGGACAGGUCUUCGGUCAAGGGUGUAAUUUUGCUGCGCUCCCCUGCUAGAACCUCCAAACAAGCUCUCAAGGUACAUUAAUGUUACAAUCAGAAAGCUUUUAACUAAGACUUCUGACAGCUUCAUGUAAGACACCAAGGAAUAAGGCUGGGUCUGAUCUG